rnacentral:lncRNA from 1 species
AUCAGAUCAGAUCUACAGUCAUUUCUCUCCACUUUCUACUUUUGGAUGAUUGAAUGAUUCAUAGCAGAUCUUGCAGCGUGAUAGGGUCAAAUCAAGGUCACUAUCAGCAGACUUCCUGUAGACUGCCUGAACUGCUGUUAGUCUCCUCUAAAGGUUUCAAUGUACUGUCUGGUUGUAGAGAAGGAGAGAGAAAGAAACAGAGGAAUUACGGAGAAGAGUCUGAGGGGAGGGAGGGAGCAGAGGUGAAACUCACCGUCCCUCACCUAAACUCAAGUCGCACUGCAUUAGUCUCAUGCACCAAUUAUUGUUGGAAGGAAGGAGAAGGAGGAAGGAGAGGGAGAUCGAAACACACAGACAGAGACAGAGACAGAAGAAGUCACACCAGCUUUCGCUUUGGCUCCCCCUUCUGUCCAGCUCAGGCAUUGAGCGUCGCCGGCAUUCUAGCUGCUGCCGAACCUACUGCUGCAAUCGCCCUUAGAAUAAGAGACAGAGAUCGAUAGAAGAAAUAAGAACUUCAAGAGGAGAGAUGGAGAAAGGAGGAAGUGAGAAGAAGAGAGGACCAGAGAACAGUUCGAAAUUGAGCGACACAAAGGAAGAGAAAAGAAAAGCAGAAACUGACAGAGGAAGAAGAGGAGGAGGAAAGAGAAAGAGAGGAGGUACAGCUAGAGAGGGACAGAGAGGUCUCUCUUUGUCACUUUCUGAGGGAGAUGAAGUCAAACAGAAGACAGUAAGCAUGGAGAAUGAUGGAAUUAAAAUAGAAGAUUUACAAGCAGAGGCAUAGGAACGGCUCAAUAUGCAUGAAGAGAAGAGGCUAGAAAUAUUGAAGGGGGAAAGAGAACGGAUAGAAGAAGAACAACAAAUCAGGAGGAAGAAGCAGGAAAGACUGUUAUCGAUGGACAGACAGCUGGAGAGGGUACAACAACAAGAGGAGCAGGAUAAAAAACUACAGAUCGAAGAGGGUACGACAACAAGAAGACCAGGAUAAAAAAACAACAGAUCAAAAUUGCAAAACAUAAAGAAACUGACAGACUUAGAGAGGCGAAGCAGGAAGAGAGAGAGGAGGAGAGAAAGAGAGCCAUUGAAGGCCACAUAGCUUUAAUCAGAGGAAGAGAGAAGAUGACAGAGGCAAAAAAGAGGCAGGAGAUGGCAGAAGAGGAAAGAAGGGAUGAGAAGUACAAGAGGGGUGAGUUAGAGAAGCCUGAAGAGGAGGAGAAGAACCCUGAAGAGAAGGAGGACGACAAGGAGGACCUCUCCCCAGCCAAUAAAAGUAUCAGAAGGAAAGCACUGGGUGAAUAGGAAGUGGGAGAAGAGGAACCUCAAAAAGGACAGAGAGAAUGUAUCAGAGAGAGGAGGAGGGAUAUGAGAUCAUCAACAGAGUCAUCCCUGGUACCACUGAAGCGAUAACGUCCUUCACCACCUGGGCAGAGAGAGAGAGAGGGAGAAGAGGAAGGGGUUGCUGAAAGAUGAGGAGAAAUGGAAGAAGAUGGAGUAUUUCAAUAAGCAUUGGAGAGAGCAGUCCCUGCUUCCAAAACAGACUCAACAGACAGUUAAAGAGGACAGGGAGAGGAGGAAGGAACAUUACCUAAAAGAACAGGAGGAGAAAUGACUGGAGGAGAUGAAUCUGGAGGCUGAUUACAUUAGAUUAGAAGUUUAAUUGUCACAUGUACAGGGUUGACGGGCAAAUCAAGAAGUUCAGCACCCAGUUCAUCAACCAGUUUCCAUCUGACUACAACCACGAUCAACAGUUGCUGGGGUGGGCCACGGGCCAGAAGGUAAACCAAGGCCUCGCUGGGUUGUACAUGACCAGCCGAGGGAGCCAGAGAGCCAGCAGAGGGGACCAGAGAGCCAGCAGGGGAUUUCAGAGGUGGCUGAGAAAUCAGUCAACCACCAAACCCAAGAAAAAGGCAGGCAUCUGCAAGAGAAUUAAGACGUGGUAAAGAAUGUUUAAAAAUGUAUUUAUGUUCUACAGUGCUAUUAUAUAUGUCCCCACUUUAAAGAAGUGACAUUAUCCACAUGUUUGGCUCCAAAUGUGAGGAUUUAGUGAACAUGCAACACACUUGUAAAGAUAAAGAUACUUAGUGAAUACUUUCCUGUCUCUGUGAUGUCUUUCAGCAUUCCUGACCUCCUGUUGCUCAGAACUGAAACUGGGCGGAGCCACACUGCCACUAGACUACAUUGGUAUUUAAAGUGUCUCCCAAUAAUUCCUCCUCCUCUUCUUCAAGGCCACAUUUCCUCAACAAAACAUUAUAAGCUCCUCAAGUCAGCAGUAUCCUCUUCAUCGAGGCAACAAACAUUCUAAGGUCAGUGACUCUCCUCCCCAGACCUGACAUUCCAAUAUUUAUCCAAGUUGAAUAUCCUUGUUGAAUUCAACUCUGAUCACCACCUCUGCGGUCCUAGAAGAUAUCCCCAAAUGGACAUGGUUUAAACAGAAGUAAAGCAAGAAGUGAAGCAAGUCCUCUCCCCAAUCAGUGGCUCCACAGACAAGAGAUUCUCAUCUUUAUCCAAGUAACACAUCGCUGGUCAGUUCCACCACCCUCCUGUCCUAGACCUAGAAGAUAUCUCCCAACUUAACAUGGUGAAACAAUUUGAGAGGCACAGGGAAAGCCAUGGAGCAGCACCCCUUGGAUGAAGAGCCAUUUAGGGGUUAAGUGCCUUGAUCUAGGGCACAACGGCAGGAGAUGGUACCUGGGAGCAAAGUACUGUUCAGCUUUAAUAAAAGCAUGAAUUAAAAAAGCGACAUUGUUUUUACGGUGUUGAUUUUAUUGGUUAUUUAUUAGAAUUUAAACAUACAUCGUGGUAUUAUAUGUUAGACUUCCAGUGAGUCUCCUAACCUUCCAUCAGUUUGCUACAAUGUGUGACUGUUAUGUUAUUUUAGAGAGGGGUCAUAUCUUGCUGGCCCAAUAUUUAUAAGUUAAGAGCGUUGGACCAGCAAAUGGAAAGGUCGCUGGUUCGAAUCCCAGAGCAAACUAGGUAAAAAGUCUGUCUGUGCUCUAAAAUGGAAAUGUCGUCUAUAUAUUUAUACAAUAUAUGGUAGACCAUAGGAGAAAUAUCAG